GGGAAUUUCAAUGACCAUGAGUAUCCAGUGAAAGCUGUUUACACAUAUAUAUAUAUAUAGUCAGUCCUAUAAUGUAAAAUAAAAUAUGCAUGCACUUAGUAACUAUAUAACUCACUCGAAGUUGAAGGGGAAGAGUAUUUUUUGUUUUUCUUUUUAGUUCACAAAGAACCUCAUAAGAUUGGUGCAGACUUCUGUCUCAUGAUCUGCUGUCCACACUACCUGCGGAGCCUUGAAAACAAUAUAAGGGUCAACGAAUCCAAUACUAUUGUCAUUUCUCAUUCUGAGCUCUCUCAUUUGGUGUCUGCAUAUAUACAUACAAAUCCUAAGUGUGUAAGAAUUAUAUACAUGUAAUUAAAGAAGUUAGAAGUAUAAUAAAAAGAAUAAAAUACUUAGAGACAAAAGCAGCUGACAAGAGAUUUGUCAAGAGCGUCGAGGUGACAUAAUUGGUGCAAUUCGUCGAACUGCACAUAUAUGAGGUCAUCUCCACAGAAGUAGUGAUGCUGUCUAAUACGAACAGAAAUCCAAUUCUCUCCCCUUUU
rnacentral:lncRNA from 1 species